rnacentral:sRNA from 1 species
GUCAAAGUCAAAUGGUUAAAAAAGACAACAGGAGUUUCUUCCUGGGAUGUUUAAGUAAUUUCAAGAACAAAAGUUUGAUUCUUUUGUAGUUCUCAAGUUGCCGAGUUAUUAAUUGAGGAAAGAUUCUCGCUGUAAGUCUGCAUCCUGUGCAUCUUGCAGCAAGGGCCUAGGGAAACAUGAAGAGAAGAGCUUUCAGGCGACAGCUGCAGCAGCAGCUGUGACUGCAGAAGAUGAAGUCAAGGCUGACUUGAUCUGGAGCCAGGAGUGGCUGACCAGAUGGCCUUUGGCGCGUUGGCUCACACCUGUAACCUUAGCACUUUAGAGUUCGAGAACAGCCUGGCGAACAUGGCAAAACCCCGUCUCUACUAAAAACAUAAAAAUUAGCUGGGCGUUAGUGGCACGCACCUGUGAUCCCAGCUACUUGGGAGGCUGAAGCAGGAGAAUCACUUGAACCCAGGAGGUGGAGGUUGCAGUCAGCUGAGAUCGCACCACUGCACUCCAGGUAAUUUUUGUAUUUUUAGUAGAGAUGGGGUCUCACCAUCUUGGCCAGGUCUCAAACUCCUGGCCUCAAGUGAUCCACCUGCCUUGGCCUCCUGAAGUGCUAGGAUUACAGGCAUGAGCCACCACACCUGGCUGAUCUCUUUACGUUGAUGUAUUCUUUGUGAGAUUUAUAGACAGAAGGCACACACUGUCUUGUGUUUUUGAGGAAGCCUUUCCUAAUCCUGGCCAGCCUGCCAGCUGGAGCAGCGCCCUUGCUUUGCCAAGCAGAUGCCCACCAUGCAUGCAUCGCGCCUCCCUCGCUUUUCUGACAGCAUCAUCGCCCUUCACUUCUCUAACUUUCCUUUACAGUUGACUGAAACCUCCUCCCGUUACGCCAGGAAGAUCUCCGGUACCACUGCCCUCCAGGAGGCCCUGAAGGAGAAGCAGCAGCACAUUGAGCAGCUGCUGGCGGAACGGGAUCUGGAGAGGGCGGAGGUGGCCAAGGCCACGAGCCACGUGGGGGAGAUAGAGCAGGAGCUAGCUCUGGCCCGGGACGGACAUGACCAGGUGAAGUCUGGACCUUGUUGUGGAGAUGGUGAUGGUUUCUAAAGCCACUGAGGAGCCGAGAAGCAUGCCCGGUGCUUGGCACCGAGGAGCUAGACUUGAGAGCACUGGAAAUGGGUGCACAUUUCUUUGCUGUGCUUGUUUGAAAGCUACAAUCUGGGGUGCCGGUUUCCAUGAUCACAGAGAUGAAGUUUUGUUCUUGAUUCGACCUUAGUGUCUGGUCUUUGUGUCCGGGUCUUUUGGCCUAUCUGUGUUAGGCCAGCUUGGUUACUAGGGCCUUAACAAUGAUUAUAGCUGCUGUUUGUGGAUUACUUUUAAUAUGUGUUUCAGCUUCAAAAAAGAUGAGAGGUGUUUUAACAUUGUUCUUUAUCGCUUUAAUGGUGUAGUUUUUCAUCAUCUAUCUUCCAGGAAGGCUGUCGUGAAUAACCCAUUAAAAUAGAGAAAGCAUUUUAACAUAAGGUUUUAGAGUAAUGCCCACCCACCAUGGUGACCCACAGCUCUUUGGGGAAGUAUCACUGGGUCUGUAUCUGGGUCAGAAAUAGUCCAUUUACCAACAUUCUUGCCUUCCCCAGCAUGUCCUGGAAUUGGAAGCCAAAAUGGACCAGCUGCGAACAAUGGUGGAAGCUGCUGACAGGGAGAAGGUGGAGCUUCUCAACCAGCUUGAAGAGGAGAAAAGGAAGGUUGAGGACCUUCAGUUCCGGGUUGAAGAAGAAUCAAUUACCAAAGGUGAUCUUGAGGUGGCUACAGUUUCAGAAAAGUCACGUAUAAUGGAACUGGAGAAAGACCUAGCUUUGAGAGUACAGGAAGUAGCUGAGCUCCGAAGAAGGCUAGAGUCCAAUAAGCCUGCUGGGGAUGUGGACAUGUCACUUUCCCUUUUGCAAGAGAUAAGCUCUUUGCAAGAAAAGUUAGAAGUCACCCGUACUGACCACCAGAAAGAAAUAACUUCUCUGAAGGAGCAUUUUGGAGCCCGGGAAGAAACUCAUCAGAAGGAGAUAAAGGCUCUGUAUACCGCCACGGAAAAGCUUUCCAAAGAGAACGAGUCAUUGAAAAGCAAGCUGGAGCAUGCCAACAAAGAGAACUCAGAUGUGAUAGCUCUAUGGAAGUCCAAACUGGAGACUGCCAUCGCGUCCCACCAGCAGGCGAUGGAAGAACUGAAGGUAUCUUUCAGCAAAGGGCUUGGGACAGAGACGGCAGAAUUUGCUGAGCUAAAAACACAAAUAGAGAAAAUGAGACUAGAUUACCAACACGAAAUAGAAAAUUUGCAGAAUCAACAAGACUCUGAACGGUCUGCUCAUGCUAAAGAGAUGGAAGCCUUGAGGGCUAAACUGAUGAAAGUUAUUAAAGAAA